GGUGGGGUUCCCGAGCGGUCAAAGGGAGCAGACUGUAAAUCUGCCGGCGCAGCCUUCGGAGGUUCGAAUCCUCCCCCCACCACCA
rnacentral:tRNA from 1 species